GAGUCAUCUUCCUUUUAUUUUCUAAGGUUCUCAUAGCCUAAUUUAGUAGGAAAUAGUGCUGAUCCAUGAUUUGAAUCAUGAUUCCUGACCCACUGUUCCUCUUCCUGGAAGACCAGAAUCUCAGGGAUCCCCUGCAGGAGGCCUCAGGGAGGGAGGCCAGGCAGGCGCCCCACCGAGCAUUGAUGUGGUGACCAUAUGGAAGGAUGUGGCUGGGCACAGGCUUGGAGGCAUCCUUGUGUAGGUUCUCUUGGUAACCCUCACACUGUGUUUUUCCCAGUGGACCCAGUAAUACGUGGCGGCCUCAUCUUCUUUCUCCAUGACAAUUUUUUAAAGUUGGUGUGAAAAUGUCAAAAUUUUUACUUGCCUCAAGUUUCUUGCUUAUUUUUCCUGAGGGAUGUCGAUUGUAGGCUAUCCAGAUAUUAGAUGCUCAAACUCUUCUUUUAGUUUUUGUCAGCACCAGUAUAUAUCUAUGUGUUUAAAGUUGUGGGUGGACGUAUUACAAGGUAUGUGGGUACUCCCAGAUGUUGCCUCUGGAAAUUAUUUCAGGUUGCUCUAACUUGCCCCAGUCCAACUGCAAGCAGAGAAGAGAAAUCCCAAAAAACAAAUUAUAUAUGAAGAAGUAACGAUAAGUAUGGCUUAAUUCUCUCCUGUAGAUGGAAAGGAUUGGGGACAAUUCACAAGUCCAGAGGGAGGAGAGCAGGACUACUUUCAGGAGCAGCAAACCCAUCUGCCAGGCUGGCUUCCUGGAGGCCUCAAAACAAAUCCAGAAUACUGUCCAUGCCCUGAGACCAUCACUAUAUAUCCUGUUUUGCCUGAGAUUCACAGCCCA
rnacentral:lncRNA from 1 species